rnacentral:rRNA from 1 species
CCUACGGGUGGCAGCAGUGGGGAAUAUUGGGCAAUGGAGGCAACUCUUACCCAGCAAUGCCGCGUGAAUGAAGAAGGUCUUCGGAUUGUAAAGUUCUUUAAUUGGGGACGAAAAAAAUGACGGUACCCAAGGAAUAAGCCCCGGCUAACUACGUGCCAGCAGCCGCGGUAAUACGUAGGGGGCAAGCGUUGUUCGGAAUGGCUGGGCUUAAAGGGGGUGUAGGCGGUGUUGCAAGUUAGAAGGUAAAUACCUAGGGCUUAACUCAGGUGCUGCUUCUAAAACUGGUAUACUUGAGUGCAGUAGAGGAAAGUGGAAUUCCUAGUGUAGCGGUGGAAUGCGUAGAUAUUAGGAGGAACAUCAGUGGCGAAGGCGACUUUCUGGACUGUAACUGACGCUGAGGCACGAAAGUGUGGGGAGCAAACAGGAUUAGAUACCCUGGUAGUC